rnacentral:rRNA from 1 species
AUUGAACGCUGGCGGCAGGCCUAACACAUGCAAGUCUAACGAGUGGCGUACGGGUGAGUAAUGUCUGGGAAACUGCCCGAUGGAGGGGGAUAACUACUGGAAACGGUAGCUAAUACCGCAUACCAUCAGAUGUGCCCAGAUGGGAUUCGCUAGUAUGUGGGGUAAAGGCUCACCUAGGCGACGAUCCCUAGCUGGUCUGAGAGGAUGACCAGCCACACUGGAACUGAGACACGGUCCAGACUCCUAUGGGAGGCAGCAGUGGGGAAUAUUGCACAAUGGGCGCAAGCCUGAUGCAGCCAUGCCGCGUGUAUGAAGAAGGCCUUCGGGUUGUAAAGUACUUUCAGCGGGGAGGCGUUACCCGCAGAAGAAGCACCGGCUAACUCCGUGCCAGCAGCCGCGGUAAUUC